rnacentral:tRNA from 1 species
GGGCUUAUAGUUUAAUUGGUCGAAACGUACCGCUCAUAACGGUAAUAUUGUAGGUUCAAGUCCUACUAAGCCCU